GUGGGUAGUUUGACUGGGGCGGUCUCCUCCCAAAGAGUAACGGAGGAGCACGAAGGUUGGCUAAUCCUGGUCGGACAUCAGGAGGUUAGUGCAAUGGCAUAAGCCAGCUUGACUGCGAGCGUGACGGCGCGAGCAGGUGCGAAAGCAGGUCAUAGUGAUCCGGUGGUUCUGAAUGGAAGGGCCAUCGCUCAACGGAUAAAAGGUACUCCGGGGAUAACAGGCUGAUACCGCCCAAGAGUUCAUAUCGACGGCGGUGUUUGGCACCUCGAUGUCGGCUCAUCACAUCCUGGGGCUGAAGUAGGUCCCAAGGGUAUGGCUGUUCGCCAUUUAAAGUGGUACGCGAGCUGGGUUUAGAACGUCGUGAGACAGUUCGGUCCCUAUCUGCCGUGGGCGCUGGAGAAUUGAGGGGGGCUGCUCCUAGUACGAGAGGACCGGAGUGGACGCAUCACUGGUGUU
rnacentral:rRNA from 2 species